rnacentral:rRNA from 1 species
UACGUAGGGGGCAAGCGUUGUCCGGAAUCAUUGGGCGUAAAGAGCGUGUAGGCGGUCCGGUCAGUCGGUUGUGAAAGUCAAGGGCUCAACCCUUGAAUGCCGGCCGAUACUGCCGGGCUAGAGUCCGGUAGGGGAGUGGGGAAUUCCUGGUGUAGCGGUGAAAUGCGCAGAUAUCAGGAAGAACACCCGUGGCUAAGGCGGCUCUCUAGUACGGUACUGACGCUGAGACGCGAAAGCGUGGGGAGCGAACAGG